rnacentral:rRNA from 1 species
UACAGAGGGUGCAAACGUUGCUCGGAAUUAUUGGGCGUAAAGCGCAUGUAGGCGGCACGAUAAGUUCGCUGUGAAAGCCCUUGGCUCAACCAAGGAAGUGCAGCGAAAACUGUCGAGCUCGAGUUCUGAAGAGGGUCGCGGAAUGGCCAGUGUAGAGGUGAGAUUCGUAGAUAUUGGCUAGAACACCAGUGGCGAAGGCGGCGACCUGGGAAGAUACUGACGCUGAGGCGCGAAAGCUAGGGGAGCAAACGGG